rnacentral:rRNA from 1 species
GCCUACGGGGGGCAGCAGUGAGGAAUAUUGGUCAAUGGUCGGGAGGCUGAACCAGCCAAGCCGCGUGAGGGAGGAAGGUACAGAGUAUCGUAAACCUCUUUUGUCAGGGAACAAAGGCGGGGACGUGUCCCCGGAUGAGUGUACCUGAAGAAAAAGCAUCGGCUAACUCCGUGCCAGCAGCCGCGGUAAUACGGAGGAUGCGAGCGUUAUCCGGAUUUAUUGGGUUUAAAGGGUGCGCAGGCGGUCUGUUAAGUCAGUGGUCAAAGCCCGGGGCUCAACCCCGGCCCGCCGUUGAAACUGGCAGU